GAUGGGUGUUGAAUGAUUCUGGAUAAUGUGGUUUAAAGCUAACAUAGAUUCAGUUGGGGUAGAGGUCUUGUAGAGCCUGAUUGACCAGUUUCCCUGAUGAAGAAGAAAAGAACUCGACUUUGCCAAAGACAUAUGAGGCAUACUCAUCUGAGUCUUCGGGUCCAGUUUCCCUGAUGAAGAAGAAAAGAACUCGACUUUGCCAAAGACAUAUGAGGCAUACUCAUCUGAGUCUUCGGGUCCAGAAGUCUAUACUACCUCCUAAAUAGGACUCAUUUGGUUAAGCAGUAGAUCUAGCUUAUGACUCUAUUAUAUAGACGAUGCUUAGAUAAUC
rnacentral:lncRNA from 1 species